AGCGAACGCUGGCGGCAGGCUUAACACAUGCAAGUCGAGCGGGCGUAGCAAUACGUCAGCGGCAGACGGGUGAGUAACGCGUGGGAACGUACCUUUGGUUCGGAACAACCCAGGGAAACUUGGGCUAAUACCGGAUAAGCCCUUACGGGGAAGAUUUAUCGCCGAAAGAUCGGCCGACGUCUGAUUAGCUAGUUGGUGAGGUAACGGCUCACCAAGGCGACGAUCAGUAGCUGGUCUGAG
rnacentral:rRNA from 1 species